rnacentral:rRNA from 1 species
UACGUAGGAGGCGAGCGUUGUCCGGAAUUACUGGGCGUAAAGGGCGCGUAGGCGGCGUGGUAAGUCACUUGUGAAAUCUCUGAGCUUAACUCAGAACGGCCAAGUGAUACUGCUGUGCUAGAGUGCAGAAGGGGCAAUCGGAAUUCUUGGUGUAGCGGUGAAAUGCGUAGAUAUCAAGAGGAACACCUGAGGUGAAGACGGGUUGCUGGGCUGACACUGACGCUGAUGCGCGAAAGCCAGGGGAGCGAACGGG